rnacentral:tRNA from 3 species
GCGCCCGUAGCUCAGCUGGAUAGAGCGCUGCCCUCCGGAGGCAGAGGUCUCAGGUUCAAAUCCUGUCGGGCGCACCA